GGGAUGGAGCGGGGCUGGAGCGGAGCCGCGCACACGCCGGGGAGAGAGAGAGAGCGCUCGGAGAGAGAGCUCGGAGUGACCUGAUUUAAUUGGCAGCGCUUCAAUGGCAUCGAGUCCUGCCCGGCCGCGUGCCCAGCCCCGAUGCGCCCGCGGCUCGGCCCCCCCUCAGCAGAGCCCUUCUGCAGACGCUCAGCGGGAUCAGGGCUCGGCUUUAGCGUCACUGCCGGGCUCUGCAGCGCGUCCCCGGGGUCAGGGGGGCUCAGCUGCGCCGGCCCCUCGAGGCUUCUCCAACAGCGAAAGGAAAAAUCGGAGGUUUCAGCCAGCGCUGGGUCAUGCAAGGAAAUAGCCAUUUAUUUUUCCCAGAUCCCAUUAACAUCCCGUGGAAGCCCCAGUGGGUUGGAAAAGCCUUUCCAGGUGGUUUUUGUGCCCGUGCCUGCUGCCAGGGCUGUGGGUACUCGAAGCAGGGUCUCGUUUGCAGCCCCCCCCUGAGCUGUGGGGGUGGCAGGGACAGCUCCUGGCAGCUCCCUUCCCGCUGAACAGGGGCUGAGCGGCCUCUCUGAUCCACCCCAAACCAUUCCAUGCCCAUUCCCGGUGCUUCCCAUGGAGCAGGGGGCAGCUCCAGCCCGGUCCCGAUUCCCGAGGGAGCCUCUCAUCACUCGGAGGUGCCACCUGCGCCCUCUGCCCCAGGGUUCAUCCUCAUGGCACAGCCCCGUGCCAGGGCCACCUCCAGCUCUGGGGACAGCAGGGAUUUUCCUGCUGGAUGCUCCUGCUCCUGGCUGGGUCCCGCUGCACAGCCUGGAGCUGCUGGGGGGUCUUUUUGGGGCACCUAUCGGCCCUAAAGGUGCCCCUGGAGGCACUGGGGUGGCAGCAGCUCCAUCCUUGGCUUCCUCCCAUCUCCAGCAGGGUGAGGACACUGCUGUCACCUCACUGGUGCCAUGGCACCCUGGCAGAGUCCCCGCUGCGCUUUAGGAUCAGCAGGAGCAUCCCCAUAACCACAGAUCCGUCUCCAGGCUGAUUUUCUCCUCCCCGGCCUCAGAAUCCCUGUGCAGAUCCCCUCCUCCGUGAUCCCCUUCCCGUCUCCAGCAGGGCGGGGACGCUGCUGUCACCUCGCUGGUGCCACGGCCUUGCAGAGGGCACACCCCGGCAGUGUCCCCCCACUGCUUUAGGAUCGGCAGGAGCAUCCCCACAACCGCAUUUCCAGCCAGCCCCUGCUCCAAGGGGAGGGAAGGAGCUGGAAUCCGGCAUUCCCGCUGCUCCAGGCAUUCCUUGGCCGAUGGAAAAGCCGCUCCCAGGUAUCCCGGAGCGCUCUCCACGCCCCAUCUCGCUCCUGCCGUGCUGCUGCAGAGGCUGAGUAAUUCCUGUCGCUCCCGAGAUGCUCCUCAGGCAGCCGAGCACAUCCCGAGCCAGGUUUUAAUUGCGUGGGAUCGCAGCCGAGAUGGCUCUGAUUUAUCUUCCCUGCUGCACCAGCACUUCUGCCUGGCCGGCUCCAGGAUCCACCUGGAGAAUAUUCCCUGGAAAUGGGGUUGAGAUUUUUCCUUGCUGGAGCCUGGGGUGGGUUUUUCCCACUCACAUUUGUAGGGUUGGAAGGAGAUUCCCAUCUUUUAUCCCGUAGGACACGAGGUGAUCUCCUCAGGGAGAUGCCCUGAGGCAUUUUCCUGGAGAAUCAGGAGGUUUGGAGGGUUAAGCCAGGCUCAGCAAAGCUUAGCUCUACCAGACCUGGAUGAACAAAGGGCUCCAGCACCUUUUAGUCCUUUCUGGAUUAGGAAAACCUCACGGAUAGAGGAUCCCUGCAGGCUUGGGAAAGUUUUGGGAGUGAUGCCUCCAAUCCCAAAGGCAGGAACCUUUGGAUCCUGGGAUAGACAGGAUCCAUUCCCAGCUGUUUCCCUCCUCCCUCUCCCUUCCCACAUUCCAAGCUGUUCAAAGAAUUCCCCACAUUUUCACCCCUUCAAGACAAGGAUCCCAAAUCCCAUCUUUAACUCCAAUCCCAAAUUCAAGCAAAUCCCCCAAAUUCCCACCUCCUUCUUGUUGCCAUGGAGAGACCCCAGGAUCCUCCGGAGAACCCUUCCCACGAUCCGGGAAUGGGAAAUGUUCCUCUGCUUCCUUUAUUCCCUGCUUUGGGGCUGCUUUACGGCUGCCAUAAAAGCUGCCCAUAAAUCCCAUAAAACCCAGGAAUAACCGGAAUUAGAGCCCAAACGGGACCGGCUCCCUCCGGCAGCGCUGGGAAUGUGGUGGGAUUUAUCCUUUCCUCAUUCCCGGACAUCUUUGCAUCCACCUUGGGAAGCAAUUCCGGGGUUGGACACCCCGAUGGAGUUCCCCUGUUUAUGGGGUUUUUUUAAUGGAUAACGUGGGGGUUUUUAUGGAUUACAUGGGAUUUUUAAAUGGUGUCCCCGUUAUGUAAAUCCCAGCGUGGGAACGCCGUGGAUUUUAUGGAUGCAGCAUUUGCGCGGCUGAGGGGACACCUUGGAUUGUCACAUCAAAGGACGAGGAAAGAAACCUCUGGGAAAUCGGGAGCCCUGUGGAUAAAUCGAUUCCGUUUGAUUUUGCCAACAGAGGUCAGCGGGAAGCGUGGAGGAAGCUGGAAUUGGGCAAAGAAAUCCCGGGAUCUCAUUGUGCCGGGAAUGUUUUCAGAGGGGAAGGGAAGGGAAAAGGGGAAAGAAAAGGGGAAGAGGGAAGAGGGAAGAGGGAAGAGGGAAGAGGGAAGAGGGAAGAGGGAAGAGGGAAGGGAAGCAAAUCCCUUUCCCAACUCUUGAACUAUGAAUUCCCCUGCUUUGACCUCCUCUCCAAAGGGCUUCGCCGCCCUUCCUUUAUUUCUCGGAGCAGGUUUUGUUUUCCCUGGGCAUUCCCAGGCUCCAGAUGGUGCCAGGCUCAGCCAUUCCAGGCCCUCAGCCCCCGCUGCCCACGGAGCCCCAGCUGGGAUCAGAGCCCGUCCACCCAAGGCCCCUCCGGAGCUUUUCCGCAGCUUUUCCGCAGCUUUUCCGUGGCUCUGACCGGGAAUUCUUUGGAGAAACGUGACACAAAGGAAUAAACAGAGCUGAUGGAUCCCAUUCCCUUCCCAAGGGAAGGCCAAGGAGCAUCCUCAGGGAAUGAGGGUCCCACCGGAACUGUCGCCCAUAGGUGGGAUGGGAAUGAGGAUUUUCCCUGGCUGUGGAUGCUGAGGGAGCCUUGGAUGAAGAAAAUAUUCCCCAAAUCAUGGAAUGAUUUGGAAGGGAGGCCACUGAGUCCCUGAGCAGGGACAUUCCCACUAAACCUUAUCCCAGAGCCAGCAGGAUGACAUUCCAUGGAAAACAGCACAGCCAACACUCCCACACCUCUGAAAAAUCUGGGAGAAAAGCAGGAUUUGGCUAAAAACACCCGAGAGAAGCAAACAACGUUUCUUGGGAAGGGAAGGAGAAAGCUGGGAACGUUUUCCAAGAACCCCCCCGCUCCAGCACGGGGAGGACAAUGACAAACGAGGUGAACUCGGAGGCUGCGGAGAAAAUCUUGGCAGCGGGCGGAAAAGGCGCUGCCAGAUUCCGGGGAAUUUUAACUGGCAUUUCAUUAGCGGCACUCAGGUGGUCACAGGACCCGUGGCAGUGCCGCAGUUCCUGGGAUUUGUUAAUUAAAGCUGCUCCUGACAGGAAUUAACGAGUU